rnacentral:sRNA from 1 species
UGUUAGUGCAUGUUUGCAUUGGGUCUGU